rnacentral:rRNA from 1 species
GAUGAACGCUGGCGGCGUGCCUAAUACAUGCAAGUCGAGCGAACAGAUAAGGAGCUUGCUCCUUUGACGUUAGCGGCGGACGGGUGAGUAACACGUGGGUAACCUACCUAUAAGACUGGGAUAACUUCGGGAAACCGGAGCUAAUACCGGAUAACAUUUGGAACCGCAUGGUUCUAAAGUGAAAGAUGGUUUUGCUAUCACUUAUAGAUGGACCCGCGCCGUAUUAGCUAGUUGGUAAGGUAACGGCUUACCAAGGCAACGAUACGUAGCCGACCUGAGAGGGUGAUCGGCCACACUGGAACUGAGACACGGUCCAGACUCCUACGGGAGGCAGCAGUAGGGAAUCUUCCGCAAUGGGUGAAAGCCUGACGGAGCAACGCCGCGUGAGUGAUGAAGGGGUUCGGCUCGUAAAACUCUGUUAUUAGGGAAGAACAAACGUGUAAGUAACUGUGCACGUCUUGACGGUACCUAAUCAGAAAGCCACGGCUAACUACGUG